GGCCCCAUCAUCUAGUCUGGUUAGGAUAUUGGCCCUUCAAGCCAAAAACAUCGGUUCAAAUCCGAUUGGGGCUA
rnacentral:tRNA from 1 species